UGCCGGCUCGUCUAAUGGCAGGACAGCGGGUUCUGGUCCCGUAUGUGGGGGUUCGAGUCCUCCGCCGGCAGCCA
rnacentral:tRNA from 1 species